GCCACAUGAUUCUACUCCUUUGC
rnacentral:siRNA from 1 species